CGUAAACAAAGAGACGCAAGGCGCGAGCCGGAGCAAACCUCNUAAAAGAGUCCCAGUUCAGACUGCAGGCUGCAACCCGCCUGCACGAAGUUGGAAUUGCUAGUAAUCGCGGAUCAGCAUGCCGCGGUGAAUACGUUCCCGGGCUUUGUACACACCGCCCGUCAAACCACGGAAGUUGGGGGCGCCCGAAGCCACUUAGCUAACCCUUUUGGGAAGCGAGUGUCGAAGGUGAAAUCAAUAACUGGGGUGAAGUCGUAACAAGGUACC
rnacentral:rRNA from 1 species